UGGGGAAUAUUGCACAAUGGGGGAAACCCUGAUGCAGCGACGCCGCGUGAGCGAAGAAGGUUUUCGAAUCGUAAAGCUCUGUCCUAUGGGAAGAUAAUGACGGUACCAUAGGAGGAAGCCCCGGCUAACUACGUGCCAGCAGCCGCGGUAAUACGUAGGGGGCAAGCGUUGUCCGGAAUCACUGGGCGUAAAGGGUUCGCAGGCGGAAAUGCAAGUCAGUUGUGAAAGGCAGAGGCUCAACCUCUGUAAGCAAUUGAAACUGUAUUUCUUGAGAUGUGGAGAGGCAAGUGGAAUUCCUAGUGUGGCGGUGAAAUGCGUAGAUAUUAGGAAGAAUACCGGUGGCGAAGGCGACUUGCUGGACACAAACUGACGCUGAGCAACGAAAGCGUGGGUAGCAAACAGG
rnacentral:rRNA from 1 species